UCAAGCGACUAAGUGUAUGUGGCGGAUGCCUUGGCGAUCACAGGCGAUGAAGGACGUGACAGCCUGCGAAAAGCCGUGGGGAGUUGGCAAAUGAACUUUGAUCCACGGAUGUCCGAAUGGGGGAACCCAGUCUCUUCGGAGACUAUUCCAGUCUGAAUACAUAGGGCUGGAAGGCGAACGCGGUGAACUGAAACAUCUAAGUAACCGCAGGAAAAGAAAUCAACCGAGAUUCCGAAAGUAGCGGCGAGCGAAAUCGGAGGAGCCUAGCGUUUGAUAGCGAUCUCGAUACCGGAACGGUCUGGAAAGUCCGGCUACAGAGGGUGAUAGCCCCGUACGGGAAAUCGAAGUCGUGGUACUAAGGACGCGAAAAGUAGGGCGGGACACGUGACAUCCUGUCUGAAGAUGGGUGGACCAUCAUCCAAGGCUAAAUACUCGUGAUCGACCGAUAGCGAACCAGUACUGUGAAGGAAAGGCGAAAAGAACCCCGGGAGGGGAGUGAAAUAGAUCCUGAAACCGCAUACAUACAAACAGUAGGAGCCUCUUUAUGGGGUGACUGCGUACCUUUUGCAUAAUGGGUCAGCGACUUACGUUUAGCGGCAAGCUUAACCGAUUAGGGGAGGCGCAGCGAAAGCGAGUUCGAACAGAGCGAUUGAGUCGUUAGGCGUAGACCCGAAACCAGAUGAUCUAUCCAUGGCCAGGUUGAAGGUGUGGUAACACACACUGGAGGACCGAACCGACUAGUGUUGCAAAAUUAGCGGAUGAGCUGUGGAUAGGGGUGAAAGGCUAAACAAAUCUGGAGAUAGCUGGUUCUCCCCGAAAACUAUUGAGGUAGUGCCUCGUGUAUGACUCCAGGGGGUAGAGCACUGUUAUGGCUAGGGGGACAUGGCGUCUUACCAAACCAUGGCAAACUCCGAAUACUUGGAAGUUUGAGCACGGGAGACAGAGCACCGGGUGCUAACGUCCGGACUCAAAAGGGAAACAACCCAGACCGCCGGCUAAGGUCCCUAAUAUUGACUAAGUGGAAAACGAAGUGGGAAGGCUAAGACAGUCAGGAAGUUGGCUUAGAAGCAGCCAUCCUUCAAAGAAAGCGUAAUAGCUCACUGAUCGAGUCUUCCUGCGCGGAAGAUGUAACGGGGCUAAGUCAAUAACCGAAGCCGCGGAUUCACGACUUGUCGUGAGUGGUAGGGGAGCGUUCUGUAAGCCUGCGAAGGCGGUUCGCAAGGACUGCUGGAGGAAUCAGAAGGGCGAAUGCUGACAUGAGUAACGUUAAAGCAGGUGAAAAGCCUGCUCGCCGUAAGCCCAAGGUUUCCUGCUCUACGUUCAUCGGAGCAGGGUGAGUCGGCCCCUAAGGCGAGGCUGAGAAGCGUAGCUGAUGGGAACAAGGUUAAUAUUCCUUGACCGCCGUUGAGUGCGAAGGGGGGACGGAGUGUUGAAGAUCAUCCGGGUGUUGGAUGUCCCGGUUUGUGAACGUAGGAGGCCGGCAGGCAAAUCCGCCGGCAUAUCUCCGAGGUGAAGCAUCGAGGUCCGUAUGGACCGAAGUGAUCGGAUGGGCUCCCAGGAAAAGCCUCUAAGCUCCAGCUCAACGGGACCGUACCGCAAACCGACACUGGUGGGCGAGCUGAAUAUGCUCAGGCGCUUGAGAGAACUCAGGAGAAGGAACUCGGCAAAUUGACACCGUAACUUCGGGAUAAGGUGUGCCUCGGUAGCGUGAAGGAAGAAACAUCCGGAGCGUGAAGAGGUCUCAGAGAAUCGGUGGCUGCGACUGUUUACUAAAAACACAGCACUCUGCAAAGACGAAAGUCGACGUAUAGGGUGUGAUGCCUGCCCGGUGCUGGAAGAUUAAUUGAUGGGGUGCAAGCUCCUGAUCGAAGUCCCAGUAAACGGCGGCCGUAACUAUAACGGUCCUAAGGUAGCGAAAUUCCUUGUC
rnacentral:rRNA from 1 species